CACCCUCCCUGGCCCAACCUCCUCCACAGUCCCCAUCGCCCUCCAUGGCCCCGACCUAGGGUUCCUUGCGGCGCCCUCCCAGCCCCCUGUGGACACCGGACACCCUGCGCGGCGCCAUGCAGAUCCCCUGCCGGCUCCCUUCGUGACCCUCCUCUGCGGACUCCCUGCGUCACCCUCCUUCGGCGGCCACGCGCAGCGUCUUCCUCCCCUACGCACGGCAGGGAGGCGUGCGCGGACUCCAGGCGGGCGGGCUCCUCCAGCGCGGCAGGGAGGGGCGCAGGCGCAGGCGUGCAGCAGGGUGGGGCGCAGGGGCGCCGCAGGCAGGGGCGCGGCCCCUCCAGCGCGCAGACCACCCCUCUCGCCCCACUCCGGCCCCAGGGAACGUCGCGUCCCUCGAUAGCUCUUUAGACGUCAACCACCAUGGAAGAACAGUCAACCACCAUGGAAGAACAGAGGGUGAAUCACAGAGAAUUGAAACUUGUUGUUAGAGUGCGCUCAUUUUUCAGUUUGCCUGACAAUGGUCCAAAAUUAUGGUGGCAAGGUAGAACUUUGCCAACCAAGAUUGUUGACAUAAAUAGCUUUGGGCUGAUACAGCUAGUUGAUUUCAUUGCUGAGCACUGCUUGUGGGGUUCUAAACAAUACAUGACUUUGUGGCGUGAUUUGGAGAAUUACUCUAUGGAGAUAAAAUCUGAUGAAAAUUUGUUAGAGUGGUGUCUAUUGAAUGUAGAGAAGGGAUUAGUAUGCAUCAAUACUCAAGUAAAUGAUUUUCUCUGGCCACUACAAUUUUCACCAACAAAGCAAAGGUGGUUGCUAGAGUGGUUGAUUUGUUGAUGGGGGAUCCUAAAAUGAAACCGUCGGUGUUGAGGGACAAAUUGAAGAAACAAUACUCGGUGGAUGUGCCAUAUGACAGAGUUGUUAGAGGGAAGUUCAGAGCUCUAGACAUGAUAUAUGGUAAAUGGUCUGAAAGUUAUGAGAUGUUGCCAACUUAUCAAGCUGAACUUCUGAGAUCAUUACCUGGUAGUGUCGUGGAGCUAGAAACUGAAGAACACAAUGGUGAUGUGUGUUUUAUGAGGUUCUUUGUUGCUCUUAAACCAUGGAAGGGAAGGGGAAGGGGAAGAGGAAGGGGAAGGGGAAUGGAUCAAGAAGAGGACAAUAAUGAGACAGUGUAUGUGAUUCAUGGCUGCUGUUCGUUACUAUUUUCCAAGCAAAAUUUCAGUGUUGCCACGUAAAUUAACUUGCUAUUACUCUCUACUUGUGAAGUGCAAGUGAUACAGGAAGGGAAAGGGGAAGUGGAAGUGGAAGUGGAAGGGGAAGAGGAAGAGGUCCAGCAGAGGCCAACAAUGAGACAAACACAACUGCAUUAGGAAGGGGAACAUGAAGGAGUGGAAGAGGAGCAACUUCAGGGAGGCUUGCAACUUUGUUGGGUUUCAAUGCUUGAUAUGUAGCUCACUACUAGUUGCUUAGGAAACCCACUACUUUUGUUAGACAUGUCAUUUAGACCUAUGUGUUGGUGUUUGAGAUGUUCUCUGGCCCUCUAUGUUGUCAUCAAAUAUGGUACUAAGAUGGCAUGUUAUAUGGAUUUGGUUUGAUGUACUUAAUGCAAUAUUUGUCAAAUUAGUUUGUUGUGUGAUAUUUAAUUUUGUUUA